CAUGGCGUAAGUCUGAUCGCUUAAAGUAAUAGUAAGGCACCUCUCCUCGACCAAAUACAAGUUCAUUCGUGUCACGUGUGGGAUGAAACUGUACAUGGGAAUUUGUGAAAUUCCUUUGGUUUUCCUGUAAAGGUCUUAUUUUCAUUAGAAGCGUUGCACAUGGAUGAAGCUCAAUUGUGUGUGAAACAGAGAGAUAAAUCAGAGUUGUUUUAAAGCCAUAUUGAUCGUACAGUGAAAUUGGCCCAAAUUUCUCUUCCAGAAACUCGGCGUGAGGACAAGAGAAAGAUGAUACACACCAGAGAACAGAUGCCGAUGUGUGUGGAUGCUGGGAAGUGGAAGCUGUGAUGAUGCUGGGACAUGGAUGCGGUGGUUUGCUCCUGAGCGUCAGUGAGGUACUGAUGUUGGCACUCAACAGUCCAAGUCCCCAUCUGCUUUAAUUGUACAGAAGUGAGCAGCUCAGUUAUUCUGCUAAACAUCUCCUUUGGUGCUCCAUGAAAGAAACCAGAGGUUUGGAGCAACACAAAGCAUCCAUUGACAUUCAGUUUCAUUGGAAAUGAGCAGCGUGAACGUUCUGCCAAACAUCUGCUUUCUUGUUCAACAAAAGAAGUUAUUCAUAAGGGUUUGGAACAACAUUAAGGCUAGAUGAUUCUCUUCAGUGAGACCAUAAUGAUGACCUUUAUCUCCAUGAAGGUGAUAAGACCAUAGAAGACACAUAUCUGUACCGUGACUCAACACUCACGUGGGUUGCCAGAUUGAGGACACGCAACAGGAGCGAGCGCAAUUGACAAUGGAUGGCUUACACACGAGCCUCGCUGACGGGUUGCCAGAUUGUUUCGGGUGGAAAGCGUCUGGGCUGGAGAGGCUCUGUGUGAAUGAGUUGCCAUGUUGAGAUGUCAGGACCUGUCUGGAGGGAUUCUCAGGUGCAAGGGCGGAACAACCUAUCAGUUACAUGGGAUCAACCAUCCAGUCAAUUCCUGAUGGAUCCUGCCUUACAUUUUUUCUCAUUCGAGCAGCCGUUUCACUCAGAUAUACAAUACGUCACAAUAGGGAAGAAAAGACAAUCGUAACUUCUGUUUCAUGUCAACAUUAAGCUUUUUAAUCAAAAGGACUACAACUACCAGAGUACUAGACAAUUUUGUAGUUCUUAAGCAACUUAUGCUUAUAAAAUCAGAUAUCUCAAAAUUCUCGGUUGAGGUAUGAUAGUGUGUGUAAAUUACAGUAUGAUCAAAUAAUGUUAAAUGCUAAAUGUUAAACCCAUUAGCAAUUUCUGAAGGAACAUGUGGCUUGAAAAGUGCUACAGUAUAAUUUUCUUCUGGUUUUAGGACUAUUGUUAUACAAUUAAUGUCAUGAUGCAAAAAAAACUUAAUGGUUCCCAAAAGGGCUUCAGACAGAACAUAAUUCACUAUUUUUCUUUAAAUUUGAGGGGAUUUUAGGGUGUAAUGUGAAGCAGAUGUCGUCAUUGAUUAAUAACGCGUGUGUUCUAGUUUUAUCUUGCAGACGGGGUGAGUGUGUGUUCAAUAAUUGAUGUUGAACAAAAUGAGCAAAUGGUUUGUCAAAGUCUGUGGUGAAUGUGCUGUUGUGUUCUGAUUACUACGAUUUCUUCAGCUGUUGCCAUGGGCAACACAUCGGACAAAUCAAUCCCAGAAUGCAAAAAGCUACAUGAAAACAUUCAUCCAAGAUACCCAAGAGGGUAACAACAUGUGAUUUCAACAUGGCGGCCAUCUUGAAGCGGUAUGACUGGAGUUUCAUUGUUUACAGCAAUAAAACAUUGUGCCACCAGAAGUCCCCGCCUCUUCUGUGUAUGCAAUAUGUGCAUACAAUGGACACUUAUUAUCCUAUGAAUCCACGGGAGGGGAUUUAUGAAUGACAGUGAAGCGACGCAACUGAUGCUGUUCACAGGCUCAUAUGACUGAUAAAACGAAGUGACAAAGAAAGAGAAGCAGGAAGAAAAGUUGAGAAAUGAUUAAGAGAAUGACACUCUGAAGUGUCUUAUUUCAGGAGCUCAGCUGCUAUAAAGAUCCAUUUAAUCCGUCUAUCUGCAGCCGCGGCCUCUUUCUCUCUCUUGUGCUGAAGUGGAAAACAUGGUCAGCAUCACCAUCUGUGUGUGCUGAGGAUCAGGUGGGCUGUUUGCUGCGAUUAAACGUCUUCUAAUCCUCCGGCUGCUCUUCUCAGAGCAAACAAACAGACAGAGGAAGAGAGGAAGAGUUGCUGUGAUCAAGACAAACUUCCCCUCAUCUCUCAUCUUCUGAUGCAAUUUCUCCAUGAACAGGGAGCCUUCGUCAUCAAGAGAUCAGUUUUCAUCAAGAGAUCUUUCACUCCAUGAGGAGCAAUUGUUGUAUGACAUGACAGGAACAGGAGAAGGCAGAGGAUAUGACACCUCAUCUGCGGAUGAAUAAUUAAAAAACAGAUUGAUCAAAGUGGGGCCAAACGUGCUGUUUCAUUCUCCUGUCAUUAACACCACGUUUGGCUUCUGUAGUAAUUCAUCUUUUUGUUCUCUGGCUGCGUAACAUGGACGCUGAUAUUCUUGCUCCAGGGCUCAUCAGGAUGUCAUAUUAGGAUCCUUAAAAGCAGCUUGAUCCUCCUGACAGUGGCUGCAUCUCUCCCAGUGCGAACACAUCCCUCGGCUUCAUCUCACGCUGUUUCAAAGCUUGACAGACUUUGACUUUGAAAGUUCAGAAAUGCAGCAUCAGGAUUAUCAGACCAUCAACCUAAUGUGUGUGUGUGUCCGGAGCAUUGCAUGAACUUUUUGUACUUGCUGCCAAAAGCAGCCCAUUACCCUGCAGUAAUAAAAUAACAAAGUAAAGAGCCAUAUGUUCAAUCAUCUUUAUGUUGUUAUAAUCAUUGCAGAUAAUUCAAUUAAACACUCUAUUUCAUAUCACUCACACAGUCACAGUCUGUGUGUGUUAGUAGUUAACACAUUCUCUUCAUCCAAUCUGAGUUUUGGUUUGCUGUGAUGUACAAGUGUGCCUAACAACAGCUGAUCGUGUCACAACUUCACUGCUGUGUGUCAGUGUGACGCUUUGAUUAGACAAGUCCCACAACACC